rnacentral:lncRNA from 1 species
UUAGAAAUACUUUUCCUACUAUCUUAGACGUAUUGUACACGGCACAGUGAACACUAGCAUAUAAACCUCACUAACCAGGAUUAUCAGAGACUACUGUCUUUACACCCCAAAGGAGACCAAUGACAAACAUCUUCAGAAAAGCAUCUUAGGUAACAAGCACACAGUCAGAUGCCAGGCCCCCUGUACUGCCCUCAGGAGCCCUGUGGCCUUCUUCAGGUCCCCUCAUCUAACUGUCCCUUGUUCUGUCACUUGCAGAAGCCAGCUUCUCUUGUGCCUGCCUAAGUUAGCACCUUUCCCACUGAGAGCAGAGACUCACAUCCAAGUCCGCUUUCCACUGCUACAGAACCUCUCACAAUUCACCACACCUCACUUGGUGUUGCCUUUCAUUUCCAGGGCACAGACUUAGAUAUUUAAAUUCUCGUCUCCAUUGGCAAGAAGCAAUCAUUUCUGUAGCAAGUGGUUGCUUCCACAGAAGCACUAAUAAAAGCCUUGCCUUCUGACAAA